rnacentral:rRNA from 1 species
ACGAACGCUGGCGGCGUGCUUAACACAUGCAAGUCGAACGGAAAGGCCCUGCUUUUGUGGGGUGCUCGAGUGGCGAACGGGUGAGUAACACGUGAGUAACCUGCCCUUGACUUUGGGAUAACUUCAGGAAACUGGGGCUAAUACCGGAUAGGAGCUCCUGCUGCAUGGUGGGGGUUGGAAAGUUUCGGCGGUUGGGGAUGGACUCGCGGCUUAUCAGCUUGUUGGUGGGGGAGGGGCUUACCAAGGCUUUGACGGGUAGCCGGCCUGAGAGGGUGACCGGCCACAUUGGGACUGAGAUACGGCCCAGACUCCUACGGGAGGCAGCAGUGGGGAAUAUUGCACAAUGGGCGGAAGCCCGAUGCAGCAACGCCGCGUGCUGGAUGACGGCCUUCGGGUUGUAAACCGCUUUCGCCUGUGACGAAGCGUGAGUGACGGUAAUGGGUAAAGAAGCACCGGCUAACUACGUG